rnacentral:rRNA from 1 species
AUUGAACGCUGGCGGCAGGCCUAACACAUGCAAGUCGAGCGGAUGAUGGGAGCUUGCUCCUUGAUUCAGCGGCGGACGGGUGAGUAAUGCCUAGGAAUCUGCCUGGUAGUGGGGGACAGCGUUUCGAAAGGAAUGCUAAUACCGCAUACGUCCUACGGGAGAAAGCAGGGGACCUUCGGGCCUUGCGCUAUCAGAUGAGCCUAGGUCGGAUUAGCUUGUUGGUGAGGUAAUGGCUCACCAAGGCGACGAUCCGUAACUGGUCUGAGAGGAUGAGCAGUCACACUGGAACUGAGACACGGUCCAGACUCUUACGGGAGGCAGCAGUGGGGAAUAUUGGACAAUGGGCGAAAGCCUGAUCCAGCCAUGCCGCGUGUGUGAAGAAGGUCUUCGGAUUGUAAAGCACUUUAAGUUGGGAGGAAGGGUUGUAGAUUAAUACUCUGCAAUUUUGACGUUACCGACAGAAUAAGCACCGGCUAACUCUGUGCCAGCAGCCGCAGUAACAC